UACGAAGGGGGCUAGCGUUGCUCGGAAUCACUGGGCGUAAAGCGCACGUAGGCGGCUUUCUAAGUCAGGGGUGAAAUCCUGGAGCUCAACUCCAGAACUGCCUUUGAUACUGGGAAGCUUGAGUCCGGAAGAGGUGAGUGGAACUGCGAGUGUAGAGGUGAAAUUCGUAGAUAUUCGCAAGAACACCAGUGGCGAAGGCGGCUCACUGGAACGUAACUGACGCUGAGACGCGAAAGCGUGGGGAGCAAACAGG
rnacentral:rRNA from 1 species